rnacentral:lncRNA from 1 species
UCACCGGGUGAAGUCUUCAGGUUAGAUAUGUUGAAGACUUGGAUCCUUGGUAGGUUGAAUGACCCGUCAGCUAUGAGUGUGUGUGCUUCCUUGGCCAUCUCCUUAGCUCUUGAACGAGUGAUCCUUCCCACCAUCUCCGGUUUCUCUGUAGCCUCUUGCUCCGUGCUAGCCACGAUCAUAUCACAGUGAAUGGCUUGUAUAAAGUUAUUUUGGGUUAGAAUAUGUUAUAAUACAUUGAAUUUGAUUGAUUACAGGUGCUAGAGAUGCAUGAAGAAUGUUUAAAAGGGAGAAGAAAGGCUUGUUGAUAUUUGGUCACAAAUGGGAUAAGAACCCAAAACCAUUGCUUUGAGGGAGUGAAUGGCUUGUAUAAAGUUAUUUGGGGUUAGAAUAUGUUAUAAUACAAUGAAUUUGAUUGUUUACAAGUGCUAGAGAUACAUGAAGAAUGUUAAGAAGUGAGAAGAAAGACUUGUUCAUAUUUGGUCCCAAAUGGGAUAAGAACCCAAAACCAUUGCUUUGAGGCAGUGAAUGGCUUGUAUAAAGUUAUUUUGGGUUAGAAUAUAUUAUAAUACAUUGAAUUUGAUUGAUUACAAGUGCU